rnacentral:rRNA from 1 species
UGGGGAAUAUUGCACAAUGGGCGAAAGCCUGAUGCAGCAACGCCGCGUGAGUGAUGAAGGUCUUCGGAUUGUAAAGCUCUGUCUUUUGGGACGAUAAUGACGGUACCAAAGGAGGAAGCCACGGCUAACUACGUGCCAGCAGCCGCGGUAAUACGUAGGUGGCGAGCGUUGUCCGGAUUUACUGGGCGUAAAGGGUGCGUAGGCGGAUGUUUAAGGGAGAUGUGAAAUACCCGGGCUUAACUUGGGUGCUGCAUUUCAAACUGGAUAUCUAGAGUGCAGGAGAGGAGAAUGGAAUUCCUAGUGUAGCGGUGAAAUGCGUAGAGAUUAGGAAGAACACCAGUGGCGAAGGCGAUUCUCUGGACUGUAACUGACGCUGAGGCACGAAAGCGUGGGUAGCAAACAGGAUUAGAUACCCUGGUAGUCCACGCCGUAAAACGAUGAGUACUAGGUGUAGGAGGUAUCGACCCCUUCUGUGCCGCAGUAAACACA